CUUGAGCGAGCCGAGCAGCAGCGGCCGGUCUUCGGCCCUGUCCUGACCGUACGUCGCGAGCAGCGCUUCCGCCUC
rnacentral:antisense_RNA from 1 species